GAUGAACGCUGGCGGCGUGCCUAAUACAUGCAAGUCGAGCGAAUGGAUUAAGAGCUUGCUCUUAUGAAGUUAGCGGCGGACGGGUGAGUAACACGUGGGUAACCUGCUCAUAAGACUGGGAUAACUCCGGGAAACCGGGGCUAAUACCGGAUAACAUUUUGAACCGCAUGGUUCGAAAUUGAAAGGCGGCUUCGGCUUUCACUUAUGGAUGGACCCGGGUCGCAUUAGCUAGUUGGUGAGGUAAUGGCUCACCAAGGCAACGAUGCGUAGCCGACCUGAGAGGGUGAUCGGCCACACUGGGACUGAGACACGGCCCAGACUCCUACGGGAGGCAGCAGUAGGGAAUCUUCCGCAAUGGACGAAAGUCUGACGGAGCAACGCCGCGUGAGUGAUGAAGGCUUUCGGGUCGUAAAACUCUGUUGUUAGGGAAGAACAAGUGCUAGUUGAAUAAGCUGGCACCUUGACGGUACCUAACCAGAAAGCCACGGCUAACUACGUGCCAGCAGCCGCAGUAA
rnacentral:rRNA from 1 species